GCCAUGAGGUGUUCUGCAGUCCAGGAGCCAGAAAUAGAAACACAGCAAAGUGCCUCUUUGGAUUUUUCCCCUGUGGCCAGGCAACAGUGACAAUGGAGGUCUCUGUGCAGGGACAGCAUUUAAAAAAAAUAUUUAUCUAUCCCAGCAGUUAUCACGGAAUUCCUGAACGUGAGCAAAGAGCUGCAGAGCCCUGUGCCGCUGGGAGGACACUGAGCAAGGCUGCUGGCUUUGUGACGAAGGGAGGCUGCUGGCAGCGAGCUGGGGACACAGCGACUCUGCAGCUUGCCGGGGUGCCAGCAGCACUGCAGGGCUGGUUCCAGCUGUGUUUUACUCUGCCCUGCGGUUGGGGAUCUGCUCACAUACGGUUUGUGAUUAAAGAACAAAUACUUCAGAUUGAAGAUUGACUUCAAACACCAGGAGAUAUGAUGGCAACUAAAAUGCAGUGAUUUAGCCCUGAACGUACUGGCUCAAGUCAUCUCUCACUUUGCUGAAGCAGUGAAUAAUUGCCUUGCCUUUUCCCUGAGAGGGUUCUGUGAAUAUACCUGCCUGGUGGUGAGGAAGGCCAGCAGAGGGUCAGCCAUGGAAAUAAAUAGGUCAUCUCACUUCAGGCGGAAUGUAGUCCUGAAGCAGAAGAGACAAGAGAAACCAUACAUAAGGAUCAGCUGGUUUACUGCUUUUAUAUGUACCAGAGAGGCCUGUAUGGAGACAAAUGGAAGAGGAAGGAAUCAAAUACUCAAGUACCUCCCUGCCUAAAGCCAGGUUGAUGGCCCUUCUCGGACAGUGCAAGAAGAGACAUCGGAGUCCAUGCAGAUAACCUCAGACCCAAAAUGCAACGAGAGAGGACUCCCAACAAAUUUACAAAAAGACCCCAAAAACAACGAGCCAACAGAGAAUUAAGAGAUCAAAGUGAUGUCUGGACAUGAGGAACAAAGUACAGAGCCUGCAGAGAUGCUAAGACCUUUUUUUUGCCCCUCGCCCUAGCCACGGAAGGACCCCGGCUAGAGGCAAGACCCUGGGAGGCAACCCUAAAAUUGUGACUCGGGGUUCCCCCGCACUGCUCUGGGGAAGACGGGAGCUCCAGCUCUGCUCCCCAGGGGACAAAGCUGCACUGUCCUCCUCCUGCGAGCCACUCCUGGGAGGCCAUGACGGCGAGACUGCAGCCCCGUUGAGCCUCCCAACCAAGAGCUGAUCUCUUUUAAUAAAGACACUAAAAAGGAGAAAAGAUCUCCUGCCCGGUUUUUUUCAUUAUAGAUAGAUAAUAAGACGAUUGUCUCUCAUAAUUAAAAGAUAACUAUUGUGUGAAUAUUAAGAAAAGCUUUAGUGGUGUACAGUUAUGUUAUUAUAGUUUAGAUGUCCUCUGUUCUCCGCACGGUUCCCUUUCCCCCGCCCCGUGUUGUGACCAUCAGACGGCCAGGGCUGUCUAGGACAGAAGCUGUGCCAUGUGCCCCUUGCAUGGGCAGCUGGGAAUGGAAAAGCUUGGCGCUUAGGGGGCAGCAUGGCAACACCUCACCUCCAACCAAGUCACAAGAAAGCAGUCUCCACCGAUAAAUGGCAAAGAAGAACUGACUGACAGACUUUGGGAGGGGCCAGGGCUGGCUGAUGCAACCCCCAGGGGUAUAAAACACUGAGCAUCCAUCUUGAAGAUGCACUGGCCAUGAGGUAUCUACAAUAGCAGUUCCCAGUGCUGCAGCUUCUUCCUUCUGUAGUCCUUUGUUGUAUUUUUGUUAAGAUUUAAAAAACCUUUUUAAAUUUUUAAAGUGAGCAGUUGUUUCUCACAGGACACAUUAUUUUCUACUAAUAUAGUUCGAUUGUGAUGGAAAGAUUCAUUUUGAAAGAGAUGUCACUCAUGGACACUUCUCUCUAUAGUAAAUUGAGAAACAAACCUAGCUAGCAAAACACUCAUAUGUUUACAUGCACUCACAUUUGAGUACCAGAUUUUAGGAAGUGUGGUUAUUUUUUAUUCUGAUUCUGUCUUCUCAUAAUAAGUUUGAUUAAAAAAUAUAAUUGGUGUUGCCUUAAAAAUUAAUUUCUUAGAUGGAAAGUG